rnacentral:rRNA from 1 species
GAAUCUGCCUUCAGGUCUGGGACAACAGAAGGAAACUUCUGCUAAUCCCGGAUGAGCCUAAUGGUAAAAGAUAAAUUGCCUGGAGAUGAGCUCGCGUCUGAUUAGCUAGUUGGUGGGGUAAAAGCCUACCAAGGCAACGAUCAGUAGCUGGUCUGAGAGGAUGAGCAGCCACACUGGGACUGAGACACGGCCCAGACUCCUACGGGAGGCAGCAGUGGGGAAUUUUCCGCAAUGGGCGAAAGCCUGACGGAGCAAGACCGCGUGGGGGAGGAAGGCUUUAGGGUUGUAAACCCCUUUUCUUUGGGAAGAAGUUCUGACGGUACCAAAGGAAUCAGCCUCGGCUAACUCCGUGCCAGCAGCCGCGGUAAUACGGAGGAGGCAAGCGUUAUCCGGAAUGAUUGGGCGUAAAGCGUCCGCAGGUGGCCAUGUAAGUCUGCUGUCAAAACCCAGGGCUCAACUCUGGUCAGGCAGUGGAAACUACAAAGCUAGAGUCUGGUAGGGGCAAAGGGAAUUCCCGGCGUAGCGGUGAAAUGCGUAGAUUUCGGGAAGAACAUCGGUGGCGAAAGCGCUUUGCUAGACCAGAACUGACACUCAGGGACGAAAG